rnacentral:rRNA from 1 species
AUUGAACGCUGGCGGCAGGCCUAACACAUGCAAGUCGAACGAGUGGCGGACGGGUGAGUAAUGUCUGGGAAACUGCCCGAUGGAGGGGGAUAACUACUGGAAACGGUAGCUAAUACCGCAUACCAUCGGAUGUGCCCAGAUGGGAUUAGCUAGUAGGUGGGGUAAAGGCUCACCUAGGCGACGAUCCCUAGCUGGUAUGAGCGGAUGACAAGCCACACUGGAACUGGGACACGGUCCAGACUCCUACGGGAGGCAGCAGUGGGGAAUAUUGCACAAUGGGCGCAAGCCUGAUGCAGCCAUGCCGCGUGUAUGAAGAAGGCCUUCGGGUUGUAAAGUACUUUCAGCGAGGAGGCGUUACUCGCAGAAGAAGCACCGGCUAACUCCGUGCCAGCAGCCGCGGUAAUAC